rnacentral:tRNA from 1 species
AUGAUACUAGUAAAAUUGGCAUUACAUUGCUUUGUCAAGGCAAUAUUGUAGGUUAAAAUCCUACGUAUCUUU